CUUCAGCGAACCGAGCCACAGAGGCCGGUCCCCUUCCCGCUCCUGCCCAUAGGUGGCCAGCAGUGCCUGCGCCUC
rnacentral:antisense_RNA from 3 species